rnacentral:rRNA from 1 species
GACAGCAGCCGCCGCGGGAAUGCGUAGGUGGCAAGCGUUGUCCUGAAUUAUUGGGCGUAAAGGGCUCGCAGGCGGUUUCUUAAGUCUGAUGUGAAAGCCCCCGGCUCAACCGGGGAGGGUCAUUGGAAUCUGGGAAACUUGAGUGCAGAAGAGGAGAGUGGAAUUCCACGUGUAGCGGUGAAAUGCGUAGAGAUGUGGAGGAACACCAGUGGCGAAGGCGACUCUCUGGUCUGUAACUGACGCUGAGGAGCGAAAGCGUGGGGAGCGAACAGGAUUAGAUACCCCGGUAGUCCCUGUCUCUUAUAC